UUUCAUCAUGUGAAAUUGUGUUUCUCAUUUGAAUCUGAGAAACAAAUGAGCAGAGGCUGGAGAUAAUUAUGUCUAAAAGACAGUGGGGUACAGGGAGCAUAAAGGCCAGGGAGAAAGGGAACUGUAGGAAUUAGUGCUGAGAAGCAGGAGUUUAGUGGAGGAAGGAGGAGAUGCAGUCCCAGAUACAAGCAAAUAAGUCUUUUCCCUCUCCCAAGCAUGGCAGUCAGCCCUGCAGGAACCAGGAUAAGAGAAAAGGCCAUCAUACCUGCCAGUCUUCCUGAAAUACAGAAAUGACAUCACCGCUGCUCUAUUGGAGUAAAGAAAGGAAGACGUCCUAUUCCUGGAGGAGCUGUCAUGGAAAGAAAAGAAAAGAAGGAAUGAAGAUGAUGUUAUUUUACAUGGGGGAGCUUGAGGAACAGGCAUGUAGCAUGAGGAAUCAGCCCUGGAUAGUGGUCUGUGGGUUCUCCCAUACUACCUUCAUGCCUGCCCCACAUUCCCUCAGAGGUGUCUUCCCUGAUAAAUUAUCUUGUAUGUCUAAUCCCAUCUUGGAUGCAUCUCAAUUGGUAAAAACUAACAUACCAGGCUUGAUUCUUUGCACUUAGCUUUUUUUCUUUCUCUCCCACAAGUAGUCAGUAGCCAUGUUCUAGUGUUCUAUGUGUUACCUCUUUUUCCAUAUGUAUGGAAAAAGGAAGGUACUGUUGAGGUGCACUUCCUAUGUGCCAGGCCCUGUGCUCAAUACUUUACCUGUAUCUCAUUUAAGCCACACAAUAACCCUGUCAGGUAGACAUUAUUUCCAUUUUGGCAAUGAAAAGACAGAAGCUUAGCGUGGUGUAAAAUCUUUCCUGGUGUCAUAUGGCUAGUGACAGGUGGAUCUGAGAUUUGAUUCUAGGACUAUUUGACCUCAAGGCUAAUGAUAAUGGUAGUAAUAUGGUAGCUGACAUUGGUUCCUCUGUGUGUGGCAUCUUGUUUCAUUGACUGUAUUAAACCUUUAAAAGAAUUGUAUGAAGAAAGUAGCCUCAUUGCAGUUUUCAGGUGAGGAAUCAGAGGUUCAGAGAAGUUGAGUCUUGUGCAAGAAAUUUAUAACUGUAAACUCUUACAUUAAAAAAGAAGAAAGAGCUCAGGUCAACAACCUACUUUAAUACUUCAGGAUAUGAAAGAAGAACAAACUAAACCCAAGCACAGUGAAUGAGGGAAAUAAUAAGGAUUAGAGUGGAUAUAAAUAAAAUGGAGAAUGGAAAAAUAAUAGAGGAAAUUACUGAAACCAAAAGUUGAUUCUUCAAAAUAAAAUCAACAAAAUUGACAACCAUUAACUAGAUUGACUAAGAAAAAAAGAGAAAAGUUUAAAAUUACUAAAAUCAGAAAUGAAAAUGGACUCUGAGCAUGGUGGGUCGUGUUUUAAUCCUAGCACUUUGGGAGGUCACAGCGGAAGGAUUUCUUGAGACCAAGUGUUUGGGCCAGCAUAGUUAACCCUGGGAGAUGCUGUCUCUACAAAAAAUAAAAAACCAAUUAGCUGGGCAUGGUGACAUGCACCUGUAGUCCUAGCAUCUUGGGAGGCUGAAGAAGGAGAAUUGCUUGAGCCCAGGAGGUUGAGGCUGCAGUGAGCCAUAGACACACCACUGUAUUCCAUCCUAGGGUGGCCUACAGAGUGAGAGCCUGUCCCUCUCUCUUCAAAAAAAAAAAAAAAAAAAAAAAAAGAAAAAUGAAGCGAUUACUACCAAUUCUAAUAAAAUAAUGAUUAUGAAAGUAGUAUAAAUAAUUGUAUGCUAAUAAAUUGGAUAACCUAUAUGAAGUAGACAAACUCUUAGAAACACACAAAUAUAUGAAUAGAACUAUAAUCAGUA
rnacentral:lncRNA from 1 species